rnacentral:rRNA from 1 species
GACGAACCGUGCGAACGUUAUUCGGAAUCACUGGGCUUAAAGGGCGCGUAGGCGGGCUCGCAGGUCAGGGGUGAAAGCCCACGGCUCAACCGUGGAAGUGCCUUUGAUACCGUGAGUCUCGAGGGAGGUAGGGGCGUGCGGAACUUCCGGUGGAGCGGUGAAAUGCGUAGAUAUCGGGAAGAACACCCGUGGCGAAGGCGGCACUCUGGGACGGUACUGACGCUGAGACGCGAAAGCGUGGGGAGCGAACAGG